AAAGAAUCUCAUCAGUAUUUUUUCUAAUACCAAGUUUGAAGAAGAGUCGAGAUUCAAUAAGAAUUUUGUACUGAAGAACCAAGAAUACUCAACGGAGGAAACGGUGAAAAAAAAAAUAGUUAUUCGUCAACGAGCACAGUUUGGAUGGAAGUGGCUGAUGAGGUGAGUGGAUUCUUUCAAUCUUGUUCUUUACUGUUGUUGCAGUUGUCCUUUUAAUGCAUAAUCCUAUGAAGAGACUUGCUUAGUCCUAAGGGAGAAGACUAGGUAUUCCUUUUGCUGUUAAUCAUU
rnacentral:lncRNA from 1 species